rnacentral:rRNA from 1 species
CAGGCCUAACACAUGCAAGUCGAACGGAAACGAUGCUAGCUUGCUAGCAGGCGUCGAGUGGCGGACGGGUGAGUAACACGUGGGAAUCUGCCUAUUAGUGGGGGAUAAGCUGGGGAAACCCAGUCUAAUACCGCAUACGCACUACGGUGGAAAGGGGCCCUCUCCUUGGAAGGUCUCGCUAAUAGAUGAGCCCGCGUCGGAUUAGCUAGUUGGUGGGGUAAAGGCCCACCAAGGCGACGAUCCGUAGCUGGUCUGAGAGGAUGAUCAGCCACACUGGGACUGAGACACGGCCCAGACUCCUACGGGAGGCAGCAGUAGGGAAUAUUGGACAAUGGAGGAAACUCUGAUCCAGCCAUGCCGCGUGUGUGAAGAAGGCCCUAGGGUUGUAAAGCACUUUCAGUAGGGAGGAAACGCCUACGGUUAAUACCCGUGGGCUAUGACGUUACCUACAGAAGAAGCACCGGCUAAUUUCGUGCCAGCAGCCGCGGUAAUACGAAAGGUGCAAGCGUUAAUCGGAAUUACUGGGCGUAAAGCGUACGUAGGCGGUUGAUUAAGCAGGAUGUGAAAGCCCCGAGCUCAACUUGGGAACUGCAUCCUGAACUGGUCAACUAGAGUACAGCAGAGGAGAGUGGAAUUUCUCGUGUAGCGG